GACGAACGCUGGCGGCGUGCUUAACACAUGCAAGUCGAGCGGUAAGGCCCUUUCGGGGGUACGACGAGCGGCGAACGGGUGAGUAACACGUGGGUGACCUGCCCUCAGCUCUGGGAUAAGCCUGGGAAACCGGGUCUAAUACCGGAUAUGACUCCAUGACGCAUGUUGUGGGGUGGAAAGCCUUGUGCGGCUGAGGAUGGGCCCGCGGCCUAUCAGCUUGUUGGUGGGGUGAGGCCUACCAAGGCGACGACGGGUAGCCGGCCUGAGAGGGCGACCGGCCACACUGGGACUGAGACACGGCCCAGACUCCUACGGGAGGCAGCAGUGGGGAAUCUUGCGCAAUGGGCGAAAGCCUGACGCAGCGACGCCGCGUGAGGGAUGAC
rnacentral:rRNA from 1 species